rnacentral:rRNA from 1 species
GAUGAACGCUGGCGGUAUGCUUAACACAUGCAAGUCGAACGGACUCUUCGGAGUUAGUGGCGGACGGGUGAGUAACGCGUGAGAAUCUGGCUUUGGGUUCGGGACAACCACUGGAAACGGUGGCUAAUACCGGAUGUGCCGAGAGGUAAAAGAGAAAUUGCCUGAAGAUGAGCUCGCGUCUGAUUAGCUAGUUGGUGAGGUAAAGGCUCACCAAGGCAGCGAUCAGUAGCUGGUCUGAGAGGAUGACCAGCCACACUGGGACUGAGACACGGCCCAGACUCCUACGGGAGGCAGCAGUGGGGAAUUUUCCGCAAUGGGCGAAAGCCUGACGGAACAAUACCGCGUGAGGGAAGAAGGCUCUUGGGUUGUAAACCUCUUUUCUUAGGGAAGAACAAAAUGACGGUACCUAAGGAAUCAGCAUCGGCUAACUCCGUG